rnacentral:ncRNA from 1 species
AGCUCAUACAUGCAGGCUCCCCGCCCCGGUGAGGAAUACCCACGCGGACCAACCGCAAGGGUACGCAUUAGAAAAUUUAUUAACCCAAAAUCCCCCACGCACAGUCACACCACACCUACACAGGCACUCAGCAGUAACUAAUAUUAGGCCAUGAGCGAUUAAGCUUGACCUAGCAAUGAAGACCCCCCCCCCAAGGCCGGUAAACCUCGUGCCAGCUACCGCGGUUAUACGAGCGGCCCAAGAUAAUGUCACACGGCGUAAAAAUGACCAGAACAGCUCACAAAACUUAAGGCUAAAGCUAUACCAGCUGUCCAACGCUAAACGACCGCUAAACCCACAGCACCUUAACUAAACGACCUAUUUCAAUCAUAAAAGCUGAGGCACAAACUAGGAUUAGAUACCCUACUAUGCUCAUGCCAUACUACGGCCACCACCCGCCAGACUAAUACGAGCGAAAGCUUAAAACUCAAAGGACUUGACGGUAGCCCAAAUCAACCUAGAGGAGCCCGUCCAAUAAUCGAUAACCCGCGUUAAUACCUCACCACCCUUUGCCAAUCAGCCUAUAUACCGCCGUCGUCAGUUCGCCCCGCAAGGACCCACACAGCGAGCAGAACAGUUAAUACACUAAAACGACAGGUCAACGCGUAGCACAUGGGGUGGAAAAAGAUAGGCUACAUUUUCCACACGGAAAACAACGAACAGCAAAUGAAACACUUGCCAAAUAAGGCGGAUUUAGCAGUAAGAUGAACCAGCCCUCUCACCUGAACCCCGCACUGGGCCGCGCACAUACCGCCCGUCACCCCCAUCCCCCACCCCUACACCCCAGCCCUAAAUAAAACGAUAGGCCACCCGCAGAUGGGGAAAGUCGUAACAAGGUAAGCGUACCGGAAGGUGCGCUUGUACA